AAAUCAAGGAGAGAAUAAGAAUACAAGUUGGCUUAACGCUGGAUGGGGAAUACAAGAUUCAAAUAAUUAUUUCAAAUGCAUAUCAAAACUUACAAAAUUGAGGCCCUCUAAAAAUCAACAACUUCCAAACGGGUUAAAAAAAUAAAAAAUAAAAAAUAUGUAUGCACUAUGCAGGAAGGACCACAAUGUGAGAGUAGAACUUUGCCUUGAUGUCAUGUAAUCCCAACACCCCCUUCUUUUUUAUUAGAUCGAAUCACGGACUCGUGAUUCCCUCUAAAGCUAAUCCCUAAUGCCUUCAUCGGAGGGCGCUCACAAAAGCCAGCAAUGAGUCAACGUCU
rnacentral:lncRNA from 1 species